rfam:TPA: Bos taurus chromosome 14, whole genome shotgun sequence.
UCCGUGGUGGUCCAGUGGUUAGGACUCUGCACUUUCACUGCUCAGGGUUUGGGUUCAAUCCCUGUUCAGGGAA